GUUAUCUUAUCAGAUUCUAUAGAUAUUUUUUAUAAAAGGCCUGGAUGCACUUUUGCAAAAACUGAAUAUUACAGGAUAUAAUUUAUAUGUAUGUGAACAGGUUGUUGAUCAAAGGAGAAAUCUGAUCCAUUAUUGAAUCAAGAAGGUAUUGUUUCCCUUUUUGUCGCAUACUUGGAAAUGGCUACAGUAGUUAUUUGCCUUCCCUUGGAUUACCAACAUAAAAGCAUGGGUUUUACGGUUGAAC